AAACAUUGAAAGACAAGUGAAAAACCUCUCUGCGACCUGGGACAAAGAUUCCCGGCAAAGAAAACAGGAAACAUGAAUAACUGAGAGGAAAAAGCUGAAGAUAGUGUUUCUUUCGGUGAAGCAGGUUAUGAGAAAUCGCCCGCACACAGGGUUUAAAAGCCACGCACAGGCCCAGGACUAGGCGCAUGCUCAGACAAGACCUGGGGGAGAACUCGGGAGCUUUCAUCCGGCCGGAUCUUCCCGCUCAAGGCGGAAAACUUCGUGCUGCUGACUGGAGCGGACUGAUGCUGAAGCUGAAGCUCCAAUACUUUGUCCACCUUGAUGCAAAGAACUGACUCAUUGGAAAAGACCCUGAUGCUGGGAAAGAUUGAAGGCAGGAGGAGAAGGGGACAACUGAGGAUGAUGGUUGGAUGGCAUCACUGACUCACUGGACGUGAGCUUGAGUGAGCUCUGGGAGAUGUUGAAGGACAUGGAAGCCUGGUGUACUGCAGUCCAUGGGGUCACAAAGAGUCGGACAUGACUGAGCAGCUGAACUGAACUGAACUCCCCCAACAUGAAUGAAUCUUACUGUCUCCAUAGGUUUGCCUUUUCCAGUGUCAUACAGUUGGAAUCAUACAAUAUGUAAUUGUCUCAGAUAGGCUUAUUUCACUUAGUAAUAUGUAUUUAAAGUUCCUCAGUGUCGUGUCAUGGCUUGAUAACUCAUUUCUUUCCAGCACUGAAUAAAAUAUCAUUUCUCUUUAUACCACAGUUUAUUUUUUUACUGAAGAACAUCUUGUUUGGUUCCAAACAUUGGCGAUUGAAAAUAAAACUGUUAUAAGUGUGCAGAUUUUUGUGUGGACCCAUGUUUUCAACUCCUUUUGGUUGAGUGUGAUUGAUGGAUUAAAUGGUAAGAGUAUGUUUAGUUUUGUAAGAAACUGCCAAACUGUCUUCCAAAGUGGCUUACAUUGUGCAUUCUCAUCAGCAAUGAAUGAAUGUCCCUGUUUUUUCCACAUCCUUGCCAGUGUUUGGUGUUGUCAGUGUUCCUGAUGUUGGCUACUCUAAUAGGUGUGUCAUGGUACCUCAGUAUUUUAAUUUUGCAUUACACUGAUGACAAAUGAUGGGGAACAUCAUUUCAUAUGUGUAUUUUCUUGAAUGAGGGGUCUGUUAAGGUCUUUGACUAAUUUUUUUUUAUUAGAUUUUUUGUUUUCUUGUUGAGUAUUAAGAAUUCUUUCUGUAUUUUGAGUAGCAGUCUUUAUUGGAUGUGUCUUUUGUGAAUAUUUUCUCUGUUUUCAUUCCUGUAACAGUGUCUUUAACAGAAAGGAAAAAAAAGAAAUUAAGUUAAAUUAGGUCCAGUUUAUCAAUUCUUCUUUUCAUGGAUUGAGCCUUUGUUGUUU
ensembl:lncRNA